rnacentral:rRNA from 1 species
ACGCGAAGAACCUUACCAGCCCUUGACAUCCCGGUCGCGGACUCCAGAGACGGAGUCCUUCAGUUCGGCUGGACCGGAGACAGGUGCUGCAUGGUUGUCGUCAGCUCGUGUCGUGAGAUGUUGGGUUAAGUCCCGCAACGAGCGCAACCCUUAAGCUUAGUUGCCAUCAUUAAGUUGGGCACUCUAAGUUGACUGCCGGUGACAAACCGGAGGAAGGUGGGGAUGACGUCAAAUCAUCAUGCCCCUUAUGAUUUGGGCUACACACGUGCUACAAUGGACAAUACAAAGGGCAGCUAAACCGCGAGGUCAUGCAAAUCCCAUAAAGUUGUUCUCAGUUCGGAUUGUAGUCUGCAACUCGACUACAUGAAGCUGGAAUCGCUAGUAAUCGUAGAUCAGCAUGCUACGGUGAAUACGUUCCCGGGCCUUGUACACACCG